UACGUAGGGCGCAAGCGUUGUCCGGAAUUAUUGGGCGUAAAGAGCUCGUAGGCGGCCUGUUGCGUCCGCUGUGAAAUCCCGGGGCUCAACCCCGGGCCUGCAGUGGAUACGGGCUGGCUGGAGGCAGGCAGGGGAGAACGGAGUUCCUGGUGUAGCGGUGAAAUGCGCAGAUAUCAGGAGGAACACCGGUGGCGAAGGCGGUUCUCUGGGCCUGUUCUGACGCUGAGGAGCGAAAGCGUGGGGAGCGAACAGG
rnacentral:rRNA from 1 species